GAUGAACGCUAGCUACAGGCUUAACACAUGCAAGUCGAGGGGCAUCAUGCAGGUUGCUUGCGAUCUGUGAUGGCGACCGGCGCACGGGUGAGUAACGCGUAUCCAACCUACCUUCGGCAGGGGCAUAACCCGGUGAAAGCCGGCCUAAUUCCCCAUGGUCCCCGUUGAUGUCAUCUGAUUCGGGGUAAAGGUGUUUUUUCCGGCCGUUGAUGGGGAUGCGUCCGAUUAGUUAGUUGGCGGGGUAAAGGCCCACCAAGACAGUGAUCGGUAGGGGUUCUGAGAGGAAGAUCCCCCACAUUGGGACUGAGACACGGCCCAAACUCCUACGGGAGGCAGCAGUGAGGAAUAUUGGUCAAUGGGCGUAAGCCUGAACCAGCCAAGUAGCGUGGAGGACGACCGCCCUAUGGGUUGUAAACUCCUUUUAUGCGGGAAUAAAUUUCGGGACGCGUUCCCGUUUUGCAUGUACCGCAUGAAUAAAGACCGGCUAAUUCCGUGCCAGCAGCCGCGGUAAUACGGAAGGUUCCGGUGUUAUCCGGAUUUAUUGGGUUUAAAGGGAGCGCGGACUGCUUGUCAGCGUGCAGUGAAACGCCGCGGCUCAACCGCGGUCCUGCUGCGCGAACUGGCUUGCUUGAGUGGGCUGUAGGUACGCGGAAUUCGUGGUGUAGCGGUGAAAUGCUUAGAUAUCACGAGGAACUCCGAUUGCGAAGGCAGCGUACCAUAUCCCGACUGACGUUUAUGCUCGAAGGUGCGGGUAUCAAACAGGAUUAGAUACCCUGGUAGUCCGCACUGUAAACGAUGGAUGCUCGCUGUCGGCGACAUAUUGCCGGUGGCCCAGCGAAAGCGUUAAGCAUCCCACCUGGGGAGUACGCCGGCAACGGUGAAACUCAAAGGAAUUGACGGGGGCCCGCACAAGCGGAGGAACAUGUGGUUUAAUUCGAUGAUACGCGAGGAACCUUACCCGGGCUUGGAUUGCAGGAGAACGAUACAGAGAUGUUGAGGCCUUUCGGGGCUCCUGUGAAGGUGCUGCAUGGUUGUCGUCAGCUCGUGCCGUGAGGUGUCGGCUUAAGUGCCAUAACGAGCGCAACCCCUUUGCGUAGUUGCCAUCGGGUGAUGCCGGGCACUCUUCGCAUACUGCCACCGCAAGGUGUGAGGAAGGUGGGGAUGACGUCAAAUCAGCACGGCCCUUACGUCCGGGGCUACACACGUGUUACAAUGGUGGGUACAGAGUGUUGUUCGUGCGCAAGCACGUUCCAAUCACAAAAUCCCUCCUCAGUUCGGACUGGGGUCUGCAACCCGACCCCACGAAGCUGGAUUCGCUAGUAAUCGCGCAUCAGCCAUGGCGCGGUGAAUACGUUCCCGGGCCU
rnacentral:rRNA from 1 species